AUUGAACGCUGGCGGCAGGCCUAACACAUGCAAGUCGAGCGGCUGACGGGAGCUUGCUCCUUGAUUCAGCGGCGGACGGGUGAGUAAUGCCUAGGAACCUGCCUGGUAGUGGGGGACAACGGUUCGACAGGAACGCUAAUACCGCAUACGUCCUACGGGAGAAAGCAGGGGACCUGCGGGCCUUGCGCGAUCAGAUGAGCCUAGGUCGGAGUAGCUAGUAGGUGAGGUAAUGGCUCACCUAGGCGACGAUCCGGAACUGGUCUGAGAGGAUGAUCAGUCACACUGGAACUGAGACACGGUCCAGACUCCUACGGGAGGCAGCAGUGGGGAAUAUUGGACAAUGGGCGAAAGCCUGAUCCAGCCAUGCCGCGUGUGUGAAGAAGGUCUUCGGAUUGUAAAGCACUUUAAGUUGGGAGGAAGGGCAGUAAGCUAAUACCUUGCUGUUUUGACGUUACCGACAGAAUAAGCACCGGCUAACUCUGUGCCAGCCGCCGCGGUAACAC
rnacentral:rRNA from 1 species